CCUGGCUCAGAUUGAACGCUGGCGGCAUGCCUUACACAUGCAAGUCGAACGGCAGCACGGAGCUUGCUCUGGUGGCGAGUGGCGAACGGGUGAGUAAUAUAUCGGAACGUACCCUAGAGUGGGGGAUAACGUAGCGAAAGUUACGCUAAUACCGCAUACGAUCUACGGAUGAAAGCGGGGGACCGCAAGGCCUCGCGCGAUAGGAGCGGCCGAUGUCUGAUUAGCUAGUUGGUGGGGUAAAGGCCCACCAAGGCGACGAUCAGUAGCUGGUCUGAGAGGACGAUCAGCCACACUGGGACUGAGACACGGCCCAGACUCCUACGGGAGGCAGCAGUGGGGAAUUUUGGACAAUGGGGGCAACCCUGAUCCAGCAAUGCCGCGUGUGUGAAGAAGGCCUUCGGGUUGUAAAGCACUUUUGUCCGGAAAGAAAUCCCUUGCCCUAAUACGGCGGGGGGAUGACGGUACCGGAAGAAUAAGCAC
rnacentral:rRNA from 1 species